GCUCGUAGUUGGAUUUCUGGCAUGGGGUCACUGGCCCGGCAUCCUAGUGGUGCUGUGUUGUCGGCUGGCCUCUGCCAUCUUUUCGGAAAAACAAGUCUGCCCUUCACUGGGUUGGGCUGGCGAUUCCGAUCGUUUACUUUGAAAAAAUUAGAGUGUUCAGAGCAUGUUUAAAGAUGUGAAUACAUUAGCAUGGAAUAAUAAGAUAGGACUUUGGUCUUAUUUUGUUGGUUUCUAGGACUGAAGUAAUGAUUGAUAGGGAUAGUUGGGGGUGCU
rnacentral:rRNA from 1 species